rnacentral:rRNA from 1 species
AGUCGGACGAGAUUUCGUCCUGUAGCAAUACGGGAAGAAGUCUAGUGGCGAACGGGUGCUUAACACGUGGGCAAUUUGUCUUGAAGUGGGGGAUAGCUCGGCGAAAGCCGAAUUAAUACCGCAUGUGAUUAGAGUGGACAUCCAUUCAAAAUUAAAGUCGGGGCAACCUGACGCUUUUUGAGGAGCCCGCGGCCUAUCAGCUAGUUGGUGAGGUAACGGCUCACCAAGGCUUUGACGGGUAGCUGGUCUGAGAGGACGACCAGCCACACUGGGACUGAGACACGGCCCAGACACCUACGGGUGGCAGCAGUCGAGAAUUUUUCUCAAUGGGGGAAACCCUGAAGGAGCGACGCCGCGUGGAGGAUGAAGGUCUUCGGAUUGUAAACUCCUGUCAUUGGGGAACAAUGCGUGACGGUUAACUGCCGUCGCGUUGAUAGUACCCGAAGAGGAAGAGACGGCUAACUCUGUGCCAGCAGCCGCGGUAAUACAGAGGUCUCAAGCGUUGUUCGGAUUCAUUGGGCGUAAAGGGUGCGUAGGCGGCGCGGUAAGUCGGGUGUGAAAUCUCGGAGCUUAACUCCGAAACUGCAUUCGAUACUGCCGUGCUCGAGGACUGGAGAGGAGACUGGAAUUUACGGUGUAGCGGUGAAAUGCGUAGAUAUCGUAAGGAAGACCAGUGGCGAAGGCGGGUCUCUGGACAGUUCCUGACGCUGAGGCACGAAGGUCA